rnacentral:rRNA from 1 species
UAGUCAUAUGCUUGUCCUAAAGAUUAAGCCAUGCAUGUGUACGUUCAAGCCCUUGUACGGUGAAACCGCGGAUGGCUCAUUAUAUCAGUGAUAAUUUGGUUGGUGGAGAAUGCUGUGGAUAACCGUGGUAAUUCUAGAGCUAAUACAUGUGGAGCAGACGGGAGUCUGGCAUUUAUUAGAUAAAGCCUUGGCGGGGGGGGUGUAUUCCCUUCCCUGCGCAGGUGAGUAAUGAUAACUGGGCGGAUCGCAAACUAUUUGCGACGCACCAAGGAAAUUUCUGCCCUAUCAACUGUGGAUGGUAGGAUAGGGGCCUACCAUGGUGGCGACGGGUGACGGGGAAUCAGGGUUCGAUUCCGGAGAGGGAGCCUGAGAGAUGGCUACCACUUCCAAGGAAGGCAGCAGGCGCGCAAAUUACCCAAUCCCGAGGCGGGGAGGUAGUGACAGGACAUGACGGGGCGGGGCGCACAGCGCCCUGCGACUGGGUUGAGGAAAAGAUAAAGCGAAUGACGAGAAACGAUU